GUACAUUUGCAGCGUUUUGGUGUUGUGUUAUCAUUCUAACUAACACACAAGAGGGAAACCGGUCAGAAUCCGGUACAGUACCCGCUACUGUGAUGCCCGCUUCUUCUGAAAAGAAGAUAUAUGACGGAUAAAUUCUUACACCACUGUUCCAGCGAAUACGAGGGAAUGGGAAGGUAUCUAUCCGGGGCGAGUCAGGAGACCUACCGAAACCAAUAGUUAACG
rnacentral:ncRNA from 2 species